GUCGGUUAUCACAGCACAUAUCCUUCACUUCACUAUCCUCUGCUGCUCCUCUCUCAUGGCUUCAUUUCUCUACAUUUCACUUCCCCUGUUCUUCCUUUUCUUCUUUUCUUUCCUUUCUAAUUUCCACCUUCUAGCACUUUCCUCCGAUCAGACGCUCAAAACCUUCAUCUUCCGCGUCGACUCUGAAUCCAAGCCCUCUAUUUUCGCCACACACUACCACUGGUAUACUUCCGAGUUUGCUGAUCCUCUCCAAAUCCUGCAUGUAUACGACACCGU
rnacentral:misc_RNA from 1 species